AAGAUACAGAAACCUGCUUUCGCCGCAUAACCCCAUAACAAAGCUAAAGCCAAAGCCGCGAAAGCAGGUUUCUGUAUCUUAUCAGAUAUCCCUCUGCGCUUCUCGUUAAACGCUCGCUGCCCUUACUACCUUGCCUCUCCCGCGAUAAUGGCCCCUAAGCUUGUUCAAUCUGCGCUGAAACCCGCUGAGUUCACCAAGCCAGCGACUUUGCCUACCCGGGCUUAUGUCACUUUCUUGGCUGGCAAUGGAGAUUAUAUAAAAGGGGUUGUUGGGUUGGCCAAAGGUUUAAGGAAGGUGAAAACGGCUUACCCAUUAGUGGUGGCGGUUUUACCUGACGUACCAGAGGAGCAUAGGCGGAUCCUUGAGUCACAGGGCUGCAUAGUCCGGGAGAUCGAACCCGUUUACCCGCCAGAAAACCAAACCCAGUUCGCCAUGGCAUAUUAUGUCAUCAAUUACUCCAAGCUGCGUAUAUGGGAGUUCGUGGAAUACAGCAAGAUGAUAUACUUGGACGGGGACAUCCAGGUAUUUGAAAACAUAGACCAUAUAUUUGAUUUGCCUGAUGGAUACUUCUACGCCGUAAUGGACUGCUUCUGUGAGAAGACAUGGAGCCACACCCCACAAUAUAAGAUCGGCUACUGCCAACAGUGCCAUGAGAGGGUAGAGUGGCCUGCUGAAAUGGGGCAGCCCCCUUCUCUCUAUUUUAAUGCUGGCAUGUUUGUGUUUGAGCCCAGCAUGUCCACGUACAAUGAUCUCUUGAAGACCGUUAAGAUCACUCCUCCUACUUCAUUUGCCGAGCAGGACUUUUUGAACAUGUACUUUAAGGAUACUUACAAGCCAAUUCCUCUUGUUUACAAUCUUGUUCUUGCAAUGUUAUGGCGUCACCCGGAGAAUGUGAAGCUUGACAAGGUGAAAGUUGUACACUACUGUGCAGCGGUGAGUAUAAUAGUAUUUCUAACACCCUUUCCCAUGUUCACUUUACUUUGAAACCAAUAACAGAUUUGACGUCGGUGGUAUAAAUAUAGGGCUCUAAACCAUGGAGAUACACUGGCAAAGAAGAGAACAUGCAGAGGGAGGACAUAAAGAUGCUGGUGAAGAAAUGGUGGGACAUUUACAGCAAUGAGUCACUGGACUACAGGAAACCUGUGGGAGGCGGUGACGCCGAGGCAGUGAACUUGCAGCCGUUCAUUGCAGCUCUCUCCGAAGCUGGUGCUGCUCAAUACAUCACAGCCCCAUCAGCUGCUUGAAGAUGGCAGUAUAUCUAAGAACAAAGGCAAGUCGAUGUACAUGUACUAGUGAAAGUAAAAAGGGAAAGAGGGGGGUGGGUGGGGGUUGCAAUGCCUUUCUCACUGGGAAAUUGGGUGAAGAAAAUGGUGUCAGUGAAGAGGAACAAGCUAUUGAAUUUUUUUUUUUUUUUUUUUAAAUCCUUUAAUUGGCUUCUUUUGGUGUUUUUAUUUUCAUGUAGAUUUUAUUUCCAUGGACGCAAUACAGACUGCCAAAACUUUUCUAUUUCUAUUUUGGAUUAUUGCAAUUUUCUCUAUGCAUGGAACCUCAUUUUUGUUGAUUUUUAAAUUAGUUUCUUCUCUCUUUUGAGUGACAUGUUAUUCUAAGAAUUGGUGGUUUGUGGUGUGGUUUCCAGGAUCAAGGAGCGUUACUGUGGAUGAAAUCCUAUAUGAAUGGUGGUUUAUUGGCAGCGUAGUCAAGAGAGAUUUUUUAUCUCUUUGUUUUGUAUCUUUCAAUUAAAUUUAUGUAUCCCUAUUAAUUAGGCACAUAGAAUUAGUUUUUGAGAUUGUAUCUAUACAUGAGCCCAGCUUUUUUAUUUGAGGAAAAUGUUGAUUAUGAAUGAUCAGGGAGUUUUCUUACCUCUUCCAAUAUUUGAUUCGCUCCAUUUUAUAUGAGUAGAAUUCUUGAGUGAAUGUUAUGAUUUUUAGGUUUAUAGUGCCUUUCCUUGAUUCUAGUGUUUUGAGAGAUCAUACCACGGAGCACAAUCAUUCCAUGAUAUUAAUUAGGAUUUUUUU
rnacentral:misc_RNA from 1 species